rnacentral:lncRNA from 1 species
AAAUUCGUGGCUAUAUGACGCAAUUUUUUACACACCGCAAAAUGAAAUUCCUUUCUUGAGACUGAGCCAAUCACAUGUAGAAUUAUCAACAAGGUGACGCAAAAUUAUAAAAAGCAACUCCAUAAUCACGUGAAUUUUGAGGUAAUCCAACAAUACAGAGCUAAACAUAAUUAAGAUAUCAGUGUAAAAGCAUGACAGAUUGACAGAGAAGCUCCUAAAAGAAUACAGUAAAUGAGGACUAGAAGUAAACAUAGGUAAAACAGCAACUAUGUACGUAGGAGGGGUUAAACAAGACGUAAUAUUAUAAAUUGGAGAGUACAUCAGGCCUUGUGAAAACUGCUAGAAGGGCAAUAUCAAUACUAAAUGGGAUCCUCUGGGAUCGGACGAUAUCGCAAGCCAAUAAAAUUAGAGACACCAACUUAGAUGAAGAUGCAUGGAAAGAUAGAGACGGAUAGCAACUAGUGCUGGAGGUAGGGCCCCCACACCAAUUUUGCCCAUGGGCCGCCACUGCAUUAAAUCCAUCUCUGAAGGAAACGGAAGAAACAUAAUAAAAAUGAAGAAAGAGAAAUAUACAACAAGAAAAAUUAUACCAUCCAUGACACAACAUGCAUUAUAAAACUCAUCUUUAUCAGAGUUUUAUCAGAGAGUAAUAAAAAAAAUAUUUUUGAUAAAUUAGAGUGUAUGUCCAUUUUUUCAGAAAUAUGGAAUAUAGACACGCGAUUUAAACAAUUAAAUGACGCAAUAAAUAUUAUUUGCUUUAUUUGAAUUAUUCUUGACGUGAUAAGAUCGAGUCCUGAUUUUGUGAAUAUAUUUCCAUAUUUUUUCAUUAAAGACUAUCCAGUAAUGAAGAAAAUACAUAUUUAGAUAUUUUGUGUACCUAUUUGCUGUCUUAGGUAUCACCAGGGUUCAAAAUUUUUUACUAAUAUAUAAGGUACAUAGUUAUAAAAUUGUUUAAAAAAUUAUUAAUAUAUCAAAUUUCUUUGUUUAAUCUUUUGACCUCGAUUUCGAGACAUGUGCGUCGAUAUAUCGUCACUAACUUUGUAAUGGAUUUGGCAUUACACAGAAUUUAAUAUAAUAUAUUAAGUUUUAUAUAAAUAUAUUAUAUUAGGUAUGUUGUUUAUUGAACUUAAGACAUUCACGCUCCAACUUUUUAUGUAUCAAAACGCUCAAAAAAUGUAUCGAGUGCAAAAUCUAUGCAAAAUACAUUUCGGAGGCUUUGUGUUUUUAAAAAUUGGGUACAUGAGUUGAGGUUUCAUAAUUAAGCAUGCCAUAAGUUUCGUUUCACUAGCAUUUGUCUAAGUAGGGCUGAUAUGAACUAUAGUAUAUUGUGCAACAAGUGCAGAAAGGUACUAAUUUCUCACGAGUUUGAAAAGUUGCGGUACG